UACACGGGGCGUACUCUUUCCAUGACAUUUUUUAGUGUAAUAUGAAAUAACUUUGCAGACGUCAAACCCAUGUCAAAAUAUCAAGGGCAAUUUCAAUUCUGAAAACAAUUUUUGUUGCCCAUAAAAAGCACAGCUGGGCCGGGCGCGGUGGCUCACGCCUGUAAUCCCAGCGCUUUGGGAGGCGGAGGCGGGCGGAUCACGAGGUCAGGAGAUCGAGACCAUCCUGACCAACACGGUGAAACCCCGUCUCUAAUGAGCCAUCACGCCCGGCCAGCUAAUACGUUAAAAUAUCUGUACAUCUUAUUUCAUUGCAGGGGACAUGCUUUAAUGUCAGUUUCAUAA
rnacentral:lncRNA from 1 species